CAAAGCAAAUCUUCCAGGUUAAUGCACGUAGUCCUUUCAGAAUGAGACAGUAACUCAUUUGUUAUGCAGUAUUAUCUCUACAUGCAUUUUUAAUGAAUUGGGUCUUUCAGUUUACCUGUACCCAUCAAACCUAAUAGUUCAGCCUCUUUAGAACCAUCUUCACUACUUUUUGUAACUUCCAUCUCUUGUUUCUAAAAUAAGGAAACAGAAAUAUUAUUUUGCGUCAGAAACAGCAACAAAGUAUACUUUCUAUUAAAGUAUGAGGAACAACUUUGCAAAACUACCCCUGGUAGUACUUUUGCAGUAUAUCAGAAAUAUUUCUUUUUUGGUUAUCUUCUGACUACACUGUGAACCGAAUUAGUUACAUUAAAAAAAAUUAAAGUUUUACUGGGGCUAUUUGCCUGUAAACAAAGAGACAUUCUUCUACCCCUGAGCAACAACAGAAAUUAAGAUCCCUAAGUGAAAAGAUGCUGUCCUCUCUCACCAUGGUUUUCCAUAAUUAGGAAUUUGGUCAGGAAUAAGAAUAACUUGAUUAUAGUCCAUGUUAUCGCACUCCUGUCCAUGUCUUUCUCUCUUCCACAUGUUGAAUGACUUCCUGACUUAUUUUCUGUGUAUAUGUAAUGUUUGGCUGCUAUCUUGUGUGCAAUAACUCUUAGUUAUCAGAUCUUUUCUUCCUGUUACAUCAGAUAAUUCUUAUUAUUAUUUAAACUGUGCUUCUCCUGACUAACUUCUCUUUAGUUUCCUUUUCACUUCAGGCUACCAAUGGGCAUAUUUUAAUCUUAUACAAUUCAUAAUUAAUUUUCACAUUCAGCCUAAUGGCUAACUAAGGUUAGAAAUUUACGAAAGAUAAAUGGGAUCACUUGGUACUUUUUCAUAUAAGGAACACAAAUUACUUUUGUGCUAGGAUGCUGCUUCUGGAGGAGUCUUAAGUAGUAAGAACUAACUUUCAGAAUGAUUUGAGUCUCUGUGCCCAUUCUACCAACUUUCCAUCUUGGUAGGGCUAAAGAAGUUUGGAUUGGAUUGAAUAGGUACCAUCUUUGUUCUUAGAAGUGCUUGGUAAGGGUCUUGUUCUUGCCAUGCACAAGAGUUAUCUUAGUGUUAUUUGAAAACAUCUGAAGAAUUUAGGUUAGAAAUUCAAAGAAAAUAUGAAUCUUUGUAACCUUCAAAUCUUUUCUUCUGUGAAAGAAAAUGUCACUCUUCUUUAAAUAGAUCGUAAAAUUAUUCUGAAUUACCAGAUGCAAAGGCUGAGCAUCACACAGUUCAGAUUUACCACGAGGAAUAGGGUUAAAUUUUGCUCUCCAAUGACAAAUCCCAACCCAGAACAGAUUUUUAGCCACGCAGCUAGCAGAACUCACUGGGUGAACUGCACAGGCCAUGGUGGGUGCAGAGCUCAGAGCCGGAAAGCAAACAGCUGCUGUAGCCUGAUUUCAGUUAAAAUAGUGUGAGUGUUUAGUCUGGCGCACGGCUUCAGGGGAGAUUGGCAGCUGGGUCAAACAAAGUCCUUCCAUUGGCUGUCUUCCCAGGCAGCUUCUGCUAGUAUUUAGGUACUAGUGCAGUGUAGGGCCCUUUCUCAGGCAAAACCUAACAUCUGACCGCACCCUCUCUUCUUUUUCCAGAAAAAAAAAAAAAAAAAGCAGAAAAAAAAGCUUCUUUUUCCUUCUUUCGUUAAGAUAAAUUCUCCAGUAGACAACCUCUCCCACUAAUUGUGUAUUAGCAGUGUAUUUUAUCUUGAGAGCUGACGCACUGAGCUCUCAACGUGCUGUGGAAGGCAGGCUGUUCCAGGGUUGGAUUCAUAAAAGGGCCUUUAUGGUUUGUGAAAGAAUAUCUGUGUGCUUAGGCAGGAAACUUUUUGAUCUGCAGGAAAGCCAGAAGACAUCUAGGAUAUCCUUGAAGAUUAGUCAGAGAGCCUCUUAUGUGCCUCUAAAGGCAUUUGAACUGGGCAAACAGGACGGCAGCAGCAGUGAGCGUGAGAUCAUUGCAGCAGUGUAGCAAACUGGCACUCUGCCUUCUCACCCUUUUGGUUCAGGAGACAAACGUGUGCAAUCCUCAUUUCUAAAGUCAGCAGAGCCUGGAAGGAUUCCUGGUCUCUCCCACCUUCUACCAUUCUGCUGCCAGGGACGGCAAGGAUUGGUGCAGCUUCUGCGCAGUGCUUUGUGCCUGCAAUACCGAGAAGGAAGAAAAAGAAGACAAGCACCCUGGUCCUCUUUUUUUCCCAAGAAAUAGCAGGAGGCAUGAAGAAAAAAUCUGAGUUUGUCCUACUCCAUACAACAGUGCUGAAAAAGAGAGAGAGAGAGAGAGAGAGAGAGAUGCUCCUGCUCAAAAACAAAAACAAACAAACAAAAAUCCAAACCAAAACAAACUAAAAAAAAAAAGCAAACAUUGGCUUGUAUUUAACUACAGAGACAUCGUGCUUUGUAAAGCAGCUUUGUAAGGCAGCAUAAGCAAAUGAGCCUUCUGUAUUUGUAUUAUUGCAAAAAUAUGGCAUAAUAAGCAAUUUAUUGCACUUGGUGAAAUCGCACCUUUCGUAUCAGGUAUAACUUUUUUUUGUUGUUUCUUUUUAAGUCUACUGUUAUAUAAAAGGGGAUCCUUGCACUUUCAGUUUACUCUUUUAUAACUCAUCUCCCACUUUAUUCUUAUUAACUUUUUCCUUUUGCUCUCUUGCUCUAAUCCUGAGUAGAAUAGAAACUUAAGCAAAACUAGAGAAAUCUCUAUGAGAAAGAUGGUACCUGUUUUAAUUUUUGUUAUACAUAGAAGUUUUGGAAAAACAUUAAUAUGUUAUCUGUGCUUUUUGUGUACAGUAUUACUUUUGGCUGUCUAAGAAAAGUGAACAUUUAGCCCUAGUUGGUAAAGAAACUAAAUCUUUCAUGUGAUGUGCCACAUAAUUUGAAAUAUGAAAGAAGAAACUUCUUGAGCUCCUAAAACAGAGUUGUAUUAGAAUGUGUAUUAAAAUUCUCUAAUAAGUGAAAUUUAGUUUGAGGGAAGUUAUAUUUAAUUUUCUUACCAGGAUUUCAUGUGACAAAAAUAAGGGUGAAAAGAUUAUGUUCUCAGUGGCUAAGUAGAAAAAGAGCUUGUUCUAGAAUAAUACUGACUUUUAAAAUAUAUUUAAAAGAAGCAUUUGUCUUAGAGCUGUUAGAAAUAUCAAUUAGGUACUUUAGCGGAGAAAGUAUACACAAACUUGUUUCACGUUUAAAGCAAUGUAUUGGCUCAGCAUAUAAUGCACUGCAUUCUAAUUAUUUCGUCUGUUUGUAUUAGUAAAUUGCUGAGCAAUUUAAGCAUUUUGUAACAAAAACCUAGUUUUCCCUAAUUCAGUGGGAAAGGAUUAGCCGAUGUAUUGCACCUAUUUUAAUUUUUAUUAAAACUGUUUCUAAACAUGUUUUAAAAUUGUUAAAGAAAAAGAAUGCUUUUGAAAUAUGGAGUGUAUAUAAAGACUAUAAUUUGCACGUGAAGAGUUGAUGCUAUAAUAUUUUCCGUGAAAAGAAUAAACUUCAAGCAAACUGUUGUUCUUUUAAAAUCGUAUUUUAUUAAAAUAGAAAUAUAUAGGGUAAACAAUGAAAAAUACUACAGAAGUGAUGAAUUCUAUCUUCUGUUUUGUCAUUAUACCAAGAAUUGUGGGAAAUUACAAAUACCCUAUAUACUGAUAACAUUCAAAUAAAAUGUUUUAUUAAGUUUAUUGGUUAUUGUUCACUAAUUAUUUUAAAAAUAGCUCUUGUUCCUUUAUGCUGCCUCAGCUAAUGAAACAUCAACUUUCACAGGCUUAAUUAACAUUUAUAAACCUGUUUUCAUGUUUCAAGAUCCUUUAGUUGAAAAACAUUAUUUUAAAUGUUAUUUUUAGGAGCCAUUAAUCUCUACACUCUUAAUUAUCUUAUUAAGCUCCAUGCCAAAUCCAAAUCUCUUUUCAGCUUUCACUAGUUCAUUGUGCAAAACCUAGUCGCUUCUUUAACAGCCAUGCCUCCUUUCACUUUCAAAACUGUUACUGUGAAAACAACAUCAACCAAAAUGAAUGCAUAAAUGCAAACUAUGAAACCACAUUAUAUGUCAUAUGAGUAGCCCUGGGUGGGGCUCCAUGAGUCUUCCAAGCCUUUGAAAAAAAAAAAAACAACACUUUAAAAGGUUUUGCCCAUUUUGGUAUUGUGUUUUCUUCUCGAUCGACUACCUUCAUUCCCACCAUACACCCAGAUGCUUCUUCUAGACAGCAGUUGUCUGACAUUUCUCCUUUUGUGGUUGUUUUAGGGAAAAACUUAAAGUGGAUAUGAGAAGUGAAGAAAGUGAUCAUAGGAGAAAAUCAUCUCAGAUCAACCACUUCAGAAGAACCAGAUUCCACUUCUGUGGCCAGGACUUUUAUGUUAUGGCUGGUCUGAUUGUUUUACCCUGCGUUCUAUGCUUCUAAACCUUGGAUCAUUCCUAAAGUACAAAUUCUGUUCUCGAACCACAAACAAGGAUAAAAGAUCGGAAGAAAUUCAGUGAAUAUCCAGGGUUGGAAUUGUGUAUUUUCAGAAGUGUUGAGCUUUAUAAUGCAAUUAUUUAAAGAUAGAGUCUUUUAUUUUCUUAUGUUGCCAGCAUUUUAAGUUACGUGUUUAUUAAGUGGCACUGAUCAAAUAACUACAGAGUAUGCAUGGAAAUAUUGGCUGUCUGAAUAGUUUGGAGAUUCAGAGAAAUAGCAAGCUGCAGAGGUGUCUGACGAUUUGUGAACCCCAGAUAACUAUUCUGUGGAGCCAUCUUUCCUUGCCUUUGAAUUAGCUUUCCCUAGGCCAAGAAUCAACAUCAAUAUUUUAUACAGCCAAAUUGUAGUCAUGUGUGGAUGAGAGUGUUGGACCAUAAAGAAGGCU